rnacentral:rRNA from 1 species
UACGUAGGGGGCAAGCGUUGUCCGGAAUCAUUGGGCGUAAAGAGCGUGUAGGCGGUCCGGUAAGUCCGCUGUGAAAGUCCAGGGCUCAACCCUGGGAUGCCGGUGGAUACUGUCGGGCUCGAGUCCGGAAGAGGAGUGUGGAAUUCCGGGUGUAGCGGUGGAAUGCGUAGAGAUCCGGAAGAACACCAGUGGCGAAGGCGGCCCGCUGGGCAGUGGCUGACGCUGAAGCGCGACAGCGUGGGGAGCAAACAGG